rnacentral:rRNA from 1 species
CAAUAGCGUAUAUUAAAGUUGUUGCAGUUAAAAAGCUCGUAGUUGGAUUUGUGGCGUACGGUGUGUUCCGGGCACUUGUUGUCUGAGUAACCUGCUGUUGCCAUCCUUGGGUGGAACCUGUGUGGCAUUAGGUUGUCGUGCAGGGGAUGCCCAUCAUUUACUGUGAAAAAAUUAGAGUGUUCAAAGCAGGCUUAUGCCGUUGAAUAUAUUAGCAUGGAAUAAUGAGAUAGGACUUUUUUGCUAUUUUGUUGGUUUGCGCAAAGAGGUAAUGAUUAAUAGGGACAGUUGGGGGUAUUCGUAUUCCAUUGUCAGAGGUGAAAUUCUUGGAUUUUUGGAAGAUGAACUACUGCGAAAGCAUUUACCAAGGAUGUUUUCAUUAA